AUUGAACGCUGGCGGCAUGCCUUACACAUGCAAGUCGAACGGUAACAGGUCUUCGGACGCUGACGAGUGGCGAACGGGUGAGUAAUACAUCGGAACGUGCCCAGUCGUGGGGGAUAACUACUCGAAAGAGUAGCUAAUACCGCAUACGAUCUGAGGAUGAAAGCGGGGGACCUUCGGGCCUCGCGCGAUUGGAGCGGCCGAUGGCAGAUUAGGUAGUUGGUGGGAUAAAAGCUUACCAAGCCGACGAUCUGUAGCUGGUCUGAGAGGACGACCAGCCACACUGGGACUGAGACACGGCCCAGACUCCUACGGGAGGCAGCAGUGGGGAAUUUUGGACAAUGGGCGAAAGCCUGAUCCAGCAAUGCCGCGUGCAGGAUGAAGGCCUUCGGGUUGUAAACUGCUUUUGUACGGAACGAAAAGCUCCUUCUAAUACAGGGGCCCAUGACGGUACCGUAAGAAUAAGCACCGGCUAACUACGUGCCAGCCGCCGCGGUAA
rnacentral:rRNA from 1 species